CCUACGGGAGGCAGCAGUCGGGAAUAUUGCGCAAUGGAGGAAACUCUGACGCAGUGACGCCGCGUAUAGGAAGAAGUUUUUCGGAAUGUAAACUAUUGUCGUUAGGGAAGAGAAAGGACAGUACCUAAGGAGGAAGCUCCGGCUAACUACGUGCCAGCAGCCGCGGUAAUACGUAGGGAGCGAGCGUUAUCCGGAAUUAUUGGGUGUAAAGGGUGCGUAGACGGGAAAACAAGUUAGUUGUGAAAUCCCUCGGCUUAACUGAGGAACUGCAACUAAAACUAUUUUUCUUGAGUGCAGGAGGGGCAGGCGGAAUUCCUGGUGUAGCGGUGAAAUGCGUAGAUAUCAGGAGGAACACCGGUGGCGAAGGCGGCCUGCUGGACUGCAACUGACGUUGAGGCCCGAAAGCGUGGGGAGCAAACAGGAUUAGAUACCCGAGUAGUC
rnacentral:rRNA from 1 species